rnacentral:rRNA from 1 species
GACGAACGCUGGCGGCGUGCCUAAUACAUGCAAGUCGAACGCACUCUCGUUUAGAUUGAAGGAGCUUGCUCCUGAUUGAUAAACAUUUGAGUGAGUGGCGGACGGGUGAGUAACACGUGGGUAACCUGCCCUAAAGUGGGGGAUAACAUUUGGAAACAGAUGCUAAUACCGCAUAAAACCUAACACCGCAUGGUGUAGGGUUGAAAGAUGGUUUCGGCUAUCACUUUAGGAUGGACCCGCGGUGCAUUAGUUAGUUGGUGAGGUAAAGGCUCACCAAGACCGUGAUGCAUAGCCGACCUGAGAGGGUAAUCGGCCACACUGGGACUGAGACACGGCCCAGACUCCUACGGGAGGCAGCAGUAGGGAAUCUUCCACAAUGGACGAAAGUCUGAUGGAGCAACGCCGCGUGAGUGAAGAAGGUUUCGGAUCGUAAACUCUGUUGUGGUAGAGGAAUGUAUCUGAUAGUAACUGAUCAGGUAGUGACGGUAUCCAACCAGAAAG